GAUAAACGCUGGCGGCGUGCAUAACACAUGCAAGUCGAACGAAGUAGCGACCGGGUGAGUAACACGUGAUUAACCUGCCUUACACAAGGGGAUCGCCUUUUGAAACGGAGAAUAAUACCCUAUCGUGUAAGAUGGACUUGCUUCUGAUUAGCUAGUUGGUGAGAUAAAGGCCCACCAAGGCAACGAUCAGUAGCCGGAUAGGGGGAGUGUACGGGAACAAUGGGACUGAGAGAAGGCCGAAACUCGACGGGAGGGAGCAGUGGGGAAUGUUGCACAAUGGGGGAAACCCUGAUGCAGCGACGCCGCGUGAUUUAGAAGGCCGUCGGGUUGUAAAAAUCUUUUUUAUGGGAAGCAGUACCAUAAGAAUAAGGUCCGGCUAAAUACGUGCCAGCAGCCGCGGUAAUUC
rnacentral:rRNA from 1 species